rnacentral:lncRNA from 1 species
GGAAAUUACACGCUCGUUGGCGGCGUGAAGUUGGCCGCGAAAUCUCCGAAUUCGCUAAGUUCGCUUUGCCAUUCGUUUGCCCUGAUUCACGAAGUCGCGAGCGAGUCGCUUCCUAAUCUGUGAUCGUACUGCGUAAUCUCUCUUGAUCCUAUUGGGUGUCUGUGUCAAAGUGCGCUUCGAGUUUGAUUAACCUCGGGAGUGCCGUACUAAGUGUGAUCGUCGCAUUAUUUCGGGGAUACGCGGCCGGUCAAGGUUAACUGUGUUUUCCCAAGUGCAUAUGAGAGCUACGAAGGAAAAAGAGAUGAGGAGGAGAAGGAAGAGGAAGAGGCUCGGAGAGGCAUCGAGCGACAGUGAAGCAGCCACAGGAUAAUGUGAACUACAAUGCCACCGCCACAUCGCACUGGGAGUCCCCGCAACGGACCCCGCGAUUUUUCGCGAUGCUCGAUGAGGAAAGGUGCCGCGAAGAUGCAAAUCGCACACGGCCGAGCGGCCGUAUCGCGUCCCGUUCCCGCGGCGAUUUGCAUAUUCCAUGCUUUUCGAUAUCUGUCCGAGCCGGUGUACCACAUCUCGCGUUUCGAGGUAAGUAUUACACUCUCAUAGCGGCGAAACGUAACCAGGUCCAGCGGUGCCAUUUUCCCACCGAUAUCUGCCCAUCGCGGCUCGGAUGCUCUCGCGAUGCAACGCGAUUUUCCGACGUGCGCGUCUGCGCGCGUUUUUCCUUCGCUUUAUUAUUUUUUUUUUUUCCCCACGCGAGGAACGUGCGUUGGCGAAUAAUUUCUAAAUUCCCCGUCCUAAAUUUACCGCGCUAACGACAAAUUUCCACACGCGAGAUUUCCCGCGCGGCGCCCUAAUGACGAUUUCGCACGCGAGAUUUUCUACGCGCCAAUGACGAUUUUCUAUGCACUCUUUUUCGCACGGCGAUUGUCGAUGAGAAAAAAAACUGGCUCCGCGCAAUACAUAUAUGUAUAAAACACGCGUGAUUCCGCACGCGAGUAACAAUCGCGCUAAUGCCAACGCGGCACGCUACACAUUUUUCCGGCGAAAUUUUCCGAGCGGCGAAUUUUUCCGGCGAUCUCACCUUCGGCGAAAGGGUCGCCGGGUGCUAAAAGAGCGCGCGUCGUCUGUUCACGAGUGCUAAGAGCGAACCGGAGCAAAGUCAACGACCGGCUGUUAAUCGACUUUACAUGAUAAUAGGCCGAAGCAAAUCGUGCCACGGUUGCCUCCUCUAGAAAGUUCGAUUCGUGUGCAGGAAAGUCGAUUACUCCGUGAGACAAGAGGUUGCUCGAAGACCUACGACGCUCCGAUAUAGAGUCCCUUUUAAGCUUGGACUUGCCGCAACGAGCUCCGGAACGAAGGAACGCGAGCGUGUCCCGCGUUCUCCAGUCUUCUAAUCCCCUCGGUAUCGAACCUUUAUUUAUUAGCCGCGCCGUUCCACCAUCCUCUGACCUAUUUUCACUUGAGAUAUAAUCGUUCUCUAUUAAGGUUAUCCAUUCUAAUGCUUUUACUUUCUAUACUUCAUUUUUUUAAGCUUUUAUUUCUGAAUUGUGCAUUUCUAGGAUUCAGAAAAAUGAACAAACGUGUGAAUAAAUUUUUGCAAUGUAUUUUUUUUAAUUGUUCUGUCAAUUAUAAAAAAAAUUAAUUUAAAAAUUUCGCAUGCGUUUCAUGAGCGUAAGUAAAUUUUAUCGGUAAAGAAUUAUUUAUGCAAAUGCAAGCCCCGCGAGAGAUUCUUUCCCUUAUUUUCUCGCUUCUGACGUCAUAAGACAAGACUCUUAACUCCAAGAAGGUAUCUCGUAAACAUCGCAUAAGGAAUAAAUUUGUAAAUUAAGGGGCAGCUAUACUAAGUGGAUUGCCUCUCUCGAGUACGUGAAGCACGUAUUUCAGUAAUUUCGCAACGCCGUUGUACUCUCGUGUCACGGAAAAUAUGAUUUUUAUUGUCAGAGAUAUGCCUUUUUCUGAAACAAGUAACACAACCGCGCGUUGACAACGUGCUUUUCAUUAGCAUCGCGAAAUUGCUAGACCAUUUAAGUAUCGCUGGGUCUCGUGCUGUACAGCACAAAGUUUAUUGCACCCAUAGAAAUAAAUAAAAGAAUGGUUUUUAAGUACACAAAAAAUGAGAGAGUAAUGAGAAUCAUUUAUCUAAAAUUUCAUAAUAAUUCAAUAAAAUUAAUAAUAACUAUUAAGUGUAGAUUUUUGAACAAUAUUAUUAAUUUUGAACGAUUUAAUCGAUUUUGUUAAAAUCGAUCAAACACUAUAUUGGCAAAUUGAAAUGUAUUAAUUUUUUCAGUUGAAAAUGUUCAUCAUAUUAAUGAAGUUGUACAAAGUGUAAAUGAGAGGGAAGGCCAUAAUACUAACUUUAUCUCUAAUAUUCCCUUAAGAUUAUUAUGACAGAAAGUUUUGUGCGCGUAGUUCUGAGCCGCAAGAGAGCGAGCUGAGAACUUUGGUGUUUGGAGUCGAUCUCCGCUGGUAUUCCAGUCGUUACUGGACCGUGGUGAGCACCAGGCAUCAGGUGGGCGUAGGUAGUACCUACGCACUCUCAGGGAGAACCCGGAGGCACCUGCGUGCCGCCCACGAGGCAACCAAGGCACUUCGGGCAAAAGCGUCCCGGACAGCCGUUGCCCAUUCGAUUCGAUUAGCCGGCGAGCGAUGAAGAUCUUAAUGUUAUUCGCCGCGUAAUCGCCCAUCUGAAAUCUCCGCUUCUCGACGGAGAGAUAGAUAAAUGGGAAAACACACGCUUGCGCGCGCGCACAAAUAAUGAAGCUUCCGUAUAUACACCGUGGCAGAUGGCUCGUGGAAGAUCCCAACUGCCAUUUUCUACAUCCGUCCUUCGAAAGAGUGCGAUUAAAAUGCGAUCGUCAUGAAUCACUCCGGGCUAUUAUUACAACGAUACGGACACGUCGAUUUUAUGUACUCUUCGGUUUAUUUAUUUUUAUAAUUCCUAAAUCUCCAUGAAUCGUCUCACACGCGCCACGUCCGAGCUUCUGAAUCCAAGAGGAAGUGUUUCGCAGGCUUGAUUAACCAUGAGAGAAAAAAAGAACAAUCGUUACGUCGAUAAAUCCAACUUUCGAAAUACGUGCGUAUACUCAUAAUGACUACACAGGAAGCGAUAUUAAAGAGAUUAGACUUUGCGUGUGGCUUUCGUGAUUUUAGACGAAUUGCCGUCGGCUUUGGUUUUUUACGUACUCCUUUUAAAUUCUUCUUGUGACCAUUAUUGCCGAGAACGCCUUUCCUAUCAAAUUUGAUGAAUGUGCGCGCGCGAUCGGCUACUUAAGGAAAAAAAAAUCAUAGAUUUCUCUUCUUAAUGAAGUUCCACGCGAACACAAAAUAAACAUCGUUCAGAGACUUAUGUACUCUUCUAAUUUCACACUUUCCCAUUUCUAUUGAUCAUUUCGACAAAAUUCCGCUUUGCAAAUAUCCUUCACAAAACUAACGACAAUUCUUUCACAUAUCUCUUAAAUUAUUGUAUUUUAUUAAUACUUACAUCGUUAUAAAGACAUCAUUAUAAAAACUUAAAAAUCUUUAACUGCCUGCUGUAAUAAAUAAAUUUUAUUACAUUUCGCUUUAAUUAUUUUUAUUUUAAAUAAAUAAUUUUUUUACUGUAUGAAGCAUUUCUUAUUUUAAUAUGCUAUCUAUUAUUUUAGAAAAGCUAAUUGAUUUAAUAUUACGAAUAUUCGAUAUAAACCAUAAUCGUUCCAAGAAUCAUUUUUCUAGCCAAGAUUCAACCGUGUUAUUUUCGUGUUAUUUCUGCACUAUAAAUCGUGAAUCAUAGCCUAUGUGAUAGCUUUUGAAUCGUAAAUCACGGCUACAUAUUUUAAGGCAUUUUACUAAUCAUAUCAUUAUUCGCUUUAUUAUCUACGUUACGUAAGUCUGAGAAUCUUUAUCUAAAUAAACAAAAGAGCGAUAAACGUACCACUUCAUUCACGUGGGCUAAAAGUCAUCAGCAAAAAAAAAAA